rnacentral:tRNA from 1 species
GCCCAGAUAGCUCAAGCGAAGAGCGUCUCGCUGCUAGCGAGAAGAUUGCAGGGUACGAUCCUGCUCUGGGCCCCA